rnacentral:rRNA from 1 species
UUUGGUGGUCCUUGCGAAGUGGCAACACCCGAUCCCAUCCCGAACUCGGCCGUUAAGCAUUUCAGCACCGAUGAUAUUUCCGAUUUUUCGGAAUGAAAGUAGGACGCCGCCAAAA